UCUUCGUAACCUUAUUAAUGUGGGGCAUUAAAAUAAUUUGACUUUGUUGGGUAUUCUGCAAGAAUAUUCAAUCAUACAAGGAUUAAAAGUCAUUAAUGUUUAAUCACUCAAGGAUUGACAAUCUAGUGGAUUUCUAAAUCUAAACAGGACUCUUAUUCUUUACUCUUGAAAGAGAUGACUCUCAUGUUAUAAAUAAAAGAUUCUCUAGUAGAUUUAAAGUACCCAAUUUUGACCCUUGUGAUAAUUCUUUUCUUUCAUAUCAACGUUCUGACUUAAGUUGUGUCCUCUCGGAACCUCCCCAACUCCGGUGGACCUUUAGCAGAUAAUCCGGCAAGAUCAAUGUGUUUACGUAGAGGUCAAUGUCAAAGUUUGUGGGUUGACCGAAACCCUAAUUUUAAGGUUGGUGAUAGACGCAUCAGAUUGGCACCGUGUGUGAGAAGACAACAAAAAGUCAUGCAUCUUUUUUUCAUAAACCAGAGAAUCAACAAAAAGUCUAUUAUCUGGGCACCCAUAUCCUCUGCUCGUCAGCUUCUAAAUCCAUUAUCAUAGGACCACAUGAAUUUAGUCCAUGGUAGGCCUCAACAACAUAAAAAUAACCCUGUCAAAAGAAUGGUUGAAUAAGAAAAGUGCACAACUAAGUGAAAUAUCAAGAAAGAUAUAAUUAAAUAAAGAGAUUACCAUGGCCGCAGUCUGGAUCCCCUUCUGCACAAUCACAUCAUUGGUUAACUCCCUCAUCUAUGCUCGAUUGAAAGGAGUGGGACUCUUCAAAAACCAAUCAGAAGAGAUGUUAAAGUCUCCAAAGACUGAGUCAUGAGUCCUGACCCCCAGUUGGGGACAAAAGCCUUCUCAAAUUCGUCGUUGGGCCCUUCAGAAACAAGAAAAGGAGAUACAUCAUCAUCCUAAUCAAUUAGCCCCCUCUUUUUACAAGUUGGGGCACUGGACCUAACCUUAGGAGGGAGAGCAGUAGAAUGAGCCUCAAAAGAAAUCUUAGUAUAUUUCAGCCUCUUCUUCUUUGGCUUGCUCACAUUACCCCGACGACGUUCCCAAAGCUUCUCCAUAGACUCCAAGGCUGACAUGAGCAAAAGAAGUAUAAGUGCAAAAAUAAUAAAUAGUGCAAGUGCAAGAAAUAGUAUAGCAAAGAUGAAAAAGGGAAUAUACCCUCUCCAGAGAUGGGGAUUAAACAAUACUCUACCAAGG
rnacentral:lncRNA from 1 species